CCAGUAAAGCGGUACGCGAGCUGGGUUAAGAACGACGUGAAGAAGUUCGGUCCCGAUCCGGCGCGGGCGUAGGAAAUUUGGGAGGACCGGGCCUUAGGACGAGAGGACCGGGAUGGACAUACCGCUGGUGUACCAGUUGUUCCGCCAGGAGCACUGCUGGGUAGCUAUGUAUGGACGAGAUAAACGCUGAAAGCAUCUAAGUGUGAAACUCGCCUCGAGAUGAGAUUUCCCAUUUCCUUCGGGAAAGUAAGACCCCUCAGAGAUGAUGAGGUAGAUAGGAUGGAAGUGGAAGUGCCGUGAGGCAUGGAGCGGACCAUUACUAAUCGGUCGAGGACUUAACCAAG
rnacentral:rRNA from 2 species